ensembl:lncRNA
AAAAUAAAAAAUAAAAAAUAAAGACCCUGGUUCAGUGGUCUAGGACACUGCAUCUCAGUGCUAGAGGCGUCACUACAGACCCUGGUUCAGCGGUCUGAGACACUGCAUCUCAGUGGUAGAGGCGUCACUACAGACCCUGGUUCAGCGGUCUAAGGCACUGCAUCUCAGUGGUAGAGGCGUCACUACAGACCCUGGUUCAGCGGUCUAAGGCACUGCAUCUCAGUGCUAGAGGCGUCACUACAGACCCUGGUUCAGCGGUCUAAGGCACUGCAUCUCAGUGCUAGAGGCGUCACUACAGACCCUGGUUCAGCGGUCUAAGGCACUGCAUCUCAGUGCUAGAGGUGUCACUACAGACCCUGGUUCAGCGGUCUAAUGCACUGUAUCUCAGUGCUAGAGGUGCCACUACAGACCCUGGUUCGAAAUCCAGGCUGUAUCACAACCGGCCGUGAUUGGGAGUCCCGUAGGGCAGAGCAC